GGUCCUAUGGUGCAGUGGUUAGCAUGGUGCUCUUGUAAGCUAUUGGCCCUAACCGCAGCACGUCUGCCUUUUCCGGGGGAUAUUUUUAGCUAACAACAGCCGAAACAGAUAGAUUCAGGUGGCUUUUCCAAGCCAUUUGGCUCCUAUGACAGUAAUGCACAGGUCGUGGGUUCGAACCCCACUAGGACCA
rnacentral:tRNA from 1 species